GGGGGUGUAGCUCAGAUGGUAGAGCGAUUGCUUCGCAUGCGAUAGGUAAGGGGAUUGAUGCCCCUCACCUCCA
rnacentral:tRNA from 1 species